rnacentral:rRNA from 1 species
CCUGGCUCAGGAUGAACGCUGGCGGCGUGCUUAACACAUGCAAGUCGAACGAAGCACUUUUUUACGAUCCCUUCGGGGUGACGAAUUUGUGACUGAGUGGCGGACGGGUGAGUAACGCGUGAGGAACCUGCCUUUCAGUGGGGGACAACAGUUGGAAACGACUGCUAAUACCGCAUAACACUUUUUGGGGACAUCCCGAAAAGUCAAAGCUUUAUGUGCUGAAAGAUGGCCUCGCGUCUGAUUAGCUAGUUGGCGGGGUAACGGCCCACCAAGGCGACGAUCAGUAGCCGGUCUGAGAGGAUGAACGGCCACAUUGGGACUGAGAUACGGCCCAGACUCCUACGGGAGGCAGCAGUGGGGAAUAUUGGUCAAUGGGCGAGAGCCUGAACCAGCCAAGUAGCGUGCAGGACGACGGCCCUAUGGGUUGUAAACUGCUUUUAUAAGGGAAUAAAGUGAGUCUCGUGAGACUUUUUGCAUGUACCUUAUGAAUAAGGACCGGCUAAUUCCGUG